GACGAACGCUGGCGGCGUGCUUAACACAUGCAAGUCGAGCGGAGCGGCGAACGGGUGAGUAACGCGUGAGUAACUGCCCCCCUCUCUGGGAUAACAGUUGGAAACGGCUGCUAAUACCGGAUAGUGGGGGUUGACUUGCGUCCUAUAGGCUUGUUGGUUGGGUAGUUGCCUACCAAGGCGACGACGGGUAGCCGGCCUGAGAGGGCGACCGGCAACAGUGGGCUGAGAUACGGCGCAAAAGCUGACGGGAGGCAGCAGUGGGGAAUAUUGCACAAUGGGGGAAACCCUGAUGCAGCAACGCGCGUGCGGGAUGACGGCCUUCGGGUUGUAAACCGAUUUCAGACAUGACGCGGUAGUGGAAGAAGAAGCACCGGCUAACUACGUGCCAGCAGCCGCGGUAAUAC
rnacentral:rRNA from 1 species